rnacentral:sRNA from 1 species
UUUUAUUCUUCAUAAUGCAUACAUAUGUAUGUACAUUAUAUCACAAGAGCAUUCGAUGCAAGCUAUUCCUGAACGCAUUUAAAGUGGCCCUCGUUAACAGAGCUAAGACAUAUUUAUGUACAUAGGAAUACAACAUCAAAAGGUGGUAAAGGGGAUGCACAUCAAGGUUUUUACAAUGUAUUGCUUGCAGAAAAUACGAUUGCGGUAGACUGUUUAUAUAUACUUAAAAUAUGGCUAUGCUACAAGGAAUCCAGUCUUAUUUUUCUAAACUUAGUCCUCUGGCUGAAAAGAUUACCCGCGAUAUAAGUCAGGCGAAGUCCGCUUAUAGCCCAGAUGCAUGGCUUGGGUUAUCUUUGUCAGAACAGGAAAAUAUUGUCAACGAUCAUUUUAUAAAACCUGAAAUAUAUAUUAAGUACUUUAAUAAGACUAAGCCGGAAUGUUCAGCGAAAGAAAACAUCGACAGUCGGAAAUUGCGAACUGAAACUAAAGAAAAUAUAUCUAAAAGCGACCAACAUCACUGGCAUAUGAACGACGUUAUAUAUAGCUUUAACGGUAAAAACCUGCACACCUUUUUUUAUCAAAACGUGGGUCUGAAAGUUUUACACGAUGAAAAUACCCGUGACUACCGCGAUGAGCAUUCCUUCCCAUUUAGUUAUCGAACCAAAUCACAAAUAAAUAUCCCAGCAGCUUUUA